rnacentral:rRNA from 1 species
CGAAAGGGAAACAAGUUAAUAUUCUUGUACUAAGUGUCGGAGAUUGUUUGAUUUCAUGUCAAACAUAUGUGGUAACACAAACAAGCUCAAAUACAUCACAAGUGGUCCUGGAAAGAGUUUUCUCUUCUUUGUUACUUCAUCAGACGACCCUGGAAUCAGUUCAACUGGAGAUAGGGUUCAAAUGAAGGUAAAGAGUAGCCGUUCUUGCUACUUCCUCGGUGCAUCAUUUGUGAUCCUUGAAAAUUUGAGCGAGAUAAUCAAUUUCGCACUUAUCUGUACUCUAAACCGCAUCAGGUCUCCAAGGUGAAAAGCCUCUAGUCAAUUAGAACAAGGUAGCACAAGGGAAGUCGGCAAAAUCGAUCGGCAACUUCGGAUAACGAUUGGCUCUAAGUGCUAGGGUGUUCGGCUUGAUGAUAAAGCAGUAGACUUGCUAUUGGAGCUGAG